AGCGGAGCCAGCCAGGAUUGCCCUUCGCAGGAGAUACUCAACUUUCAGCCUCUGGGCCCUGUGGAUGUUAGAAGAAUGACAGGAGACAGACACUGUCUGAGGAGAAACCCAACUGCUUUUCCAUAUUGCAGCAACUACUCAACUGCCUCCAGAACUGUCUUUCACCAUCCAGCUUCCAAUUUAUUGUCUGGCCUUGUCGACUUCAGUGUGAUUUGAGCAUGCAGUCGAACUUAGAAACAUCAUUUUAUAUAUUUUUUUUCCCAGACUAAAGCUUUUAUGUAGGCCCCCUUCAGGUCCUGGAAGGCCGCUCUUCCUCAGAACUUUCUCUUCUUCAGGCUGAAGAGCCCCAGCUCUCUCAGCCUGUCCCCUGCACGGGAGGUGUUCCAGCUCUCUGAUCAUCUUUGCAGUUCUCCUCUGGAUCCACUCCAACAGCU
ensembl:lncRNA